UUUUACUUAUAUCUAAGACCGGAGCGAGUAUUACGAUUGGCAAUAUGAUUGUAAUCGCCACAAGACUCAAAAAAGCAAAUCAAUUGAGAAAUUUGGUGGUGAUUAGGGUUUACCUUUGUGGUCAAUUUAUAAUCACCAUGCUUCCAAUUUCCACCUCUAACAUAACGAUCACAUUCACAAAUCCUUCUAAGAAGCGUAAGCAUCAAACCAAUAGCCAAAUCAGCAACUUCAUCAGUCAAAACAUCAGGUGUAUUCGUCACGCGAAUCCCUUUCUCCUUACACUUGCCAAGAUCAAUCUUAUCAACACCAACACUGAAGCUCGAAACGAUUUCAAGCUUCGGAAGUGCUUCAAUGAGGUCAGAAUCGGCACCGGCGAAUGCAUCUCCGACCACCGCACGGAUCGACGCGCCGUGUUGAGUUAAAAGUUGAGAUUUUUGUGGGAAAUCCCAUAAGCGGAAGAGGUUGUAGCGUUUGUUGAGUUCUUGUUCUAAGUAUGGGAUUACUUGAUGAGAUACAAGGAGAACGCCAAUGGAUCCCAUGAUUAGGGUUAGGGUUUUGAGAAAUUGAGUUGCAGAGGGUUCGAUUCAGCUACGAGGAUGGUGAUGUGAUGAUUCAGAUAACAUUGUUUUUUUUUUUUUUUUUACAAAUAUAGUAAUAUUUGCAUUGAAAGUUGUAUAAUCAAUGCAUUUGUCUUUUUUAACUUGCAAUUUUUACUUUUGGUUUUCUUAACCAAACGAGGUUAACAAGACCUUUCUGUUUUUAGAAUUUAUUGAAACAGUAGAAUGUUUAUUUUUAUUUUUGGUGGUGUUCUUUUUUUUGACAAGUAUUUUUGGUGGUGUUGUAAAAUGUUUAUUUUAAUUCUUGAUUUUUUUAACCGAACAAAAAAGUAAAAUGUUGUUUAUUUUCCUCCUCUCCUAAGAGACAAAAUGACAAAACAAUACCAUAAUAUCCUUUAAAAAAA
rnacentral:lncRNA from 1 species